rnacentral:rRNA from 14 species
CAAACGUUGGCCGUAACUAUAACGGUCCCAAGGUAGCAAAUUUCCUUGUCGUUUAAGUAACGACCUGCAUGAAGGAUGUAACGAUUCGAUAGCUGUCUUGCGUACAUGUGCUGGUGAAAUAUUAGGUUGUGUGAAGAUACGGUAACAAUGUUUAGGGACAAAAAGACCCAAUGAAGCUUUAUAGGGAUAGAAUUUAGUACGGGUUCUAUAUUGGUAUAUCUUAAUUUCAAGGGAAAACAGUGAGAUACCAUUCAUUGAGAAUACGAGAAGAUAAUUCUUUAACAAAUCAUUUUAAUUACUUGUUUAAUUUGGUGAAUUAAUAGGUCGUAUCAAUAGGAACACCCAAUUAAACAAAGGUGUUACACUUUAUAUUUAGCAUUAAUUUGCUGGACAUUUAUGCUGGGCUGGUACAUUUGUGCUGGGUCAUUUCUAUAGGAUUACAGUACAUUCUAUAGUAACAUGACCUUGAUGUGAUGGACCGUUAGUGAAAUUAUGAAUUACUUUUAUUAAUUUUGUGGACCCUUAGUUUGAGAUGAAAUAGGUCUUAUAAGCAUGAUGAGUCUUUGGUUAGUAAUGUUAGAUGGGCUGUUUCAUUGGGGAGAUGACCUUCUUUAAUCUAACUAAAGGUUCACAAAGCUAUUGAUGUGGCCUUAUAAAAAGGACUAGUAAGUGCAAAGAUAGAUGUGUGGCUUAAUGGUCAAGCGUUUGAUCCAGUAUUUAAAUGGUGUCUUAGUGACCUUAAAAUUAAUUUAUCAGAUAAAAGCUACUCUAGGGAUAACAGGCUUAAUAUUUUGGAUAGCUCACAUUAACAAAAUGGUUUUGCACCUCGAUGUCGGCUUAUCUUUUCCAAAUGGAAAUCAAUCAAUCAGGAGUGGGAGUGCUCAUCCCAUAACAAGGUACGUGAGCUGGGUUCAGAACGAUGUAAAUCAGUUUGGUCUAUAUCUG